UUGCCUCAGUAACGGCGAGUGAAGCGGCAACAGCUCAAAUUUGAAAUCCGGCCCCCGGGCCCGAGUUGUAAUUUGUAGAGGGAGUUUCGGAGGCGGCGCCGGCUUAAGUCCCUUGGAACAGGGCGUCACAGAGGGUGAGAAUCCCGUACGUGGCCGGCGAACAAUUCCGGGUGAAACCCCUUCGACGAGUCAAGUUGUUUGGGAAUGCAGCUCAAAAUGGGUGGUAAAUUCCAUCUCAAGCUAAAUACCGGCCAGAGACCGAUAGCGCACAAGUAGAGUGAUCGAAAGAUGAAAAGCACUUUGGAAAGAGAGUUAAAAAGUACGUGAAAUUGUUGAAAGGGAAGCGCUUGCAACCAGACUUGCUCGCGGGUGAUCAGCCUCCCUUCGGGGGGGUGCACUCGCCCGCGAUCAGGCCAGCAUCGGUUUCGGCGGGCGGAUAAAGUCCCCAGGAACGUAGCUCCCUUCGGGGAGUGUUAUAGCCUGGGGUGCAAUGCGCCCAGCCGGGACCGAGGACCGCGCUUCGGCUAGGAUGCUGGCGUAAUGGUUGCAAGCGACCCGUCUUGAAACACGGACCAAGGAGUCUAACAUCUGUGCGAGUGUGUGGGCGUUAAACCCAUGCGCAGAAUGAAAGUGAACGGAGGUGGGAGCCCUUUCGGGGGCGCACCAUCGACCGAUCCUGAUGUCUUCGGAUGGAUUUGAGUAGGAGCACAGCUGUUGGGACCCGAAGAUGGUGAACUAUGCGUGAAUAGGGUGAAGCCAGAGGAACUCUGGUGGAGGCUCGCAGCGGUUCUGACGUGCAAAUCGAUCGUCAAAUUUGCGUAUAGGGGCGAGACUAAUCGAACCAUCUAGUAGCUGGUUCAGCCAAGUUUCCUCAGAUAGCAGUAACGUUUNAGUUUUAUGAGGUAAGCGAUGAUAGAGGCUUGGGGUGAACACCNUUAANCUAUCUCAACNUUAA
rnacentral:rRNA from 1 species